CUGUUGCCGAGAGGAAAGUCCGGGCAGCUCGAGCCACCAUGCUUCCUAACGGGAAGGCAUCCGAUGAAUGUGUUAAUGCGUUAAUGCGUUAAUGUGUUAGUGGGGUGACAGAAAGCGCCACAGAAAACAAACCGCUAUUAUGCAAGGCUGCCUCCGGCCACCUUGCAUAAAGCAAGGGUGAAAACGCGGGGUAAGAGCCCACGACGUGUCGCGGUGACGCGCACGAUGGCAAGCCUCAUGGGCUGAAAGACCAUGUAUACCAGCUAUAUGUAGGACCGGCUCGUCCGAUGCUGGGGGGUAGGUUGAUAGAGGCCGUCGGUGACGGCGGUCCUAGAUUGAUGAUAGAACACGACAGAACCCGGCUUACAGGCCC
rnacentral:RNase_P_RNA from 1 species